rnacentral:rRNA from 1 species
CCUGGUUGAUCCUGCCAGUAGUCAUAUGCUUGUCUCAAAGAUUAAGCCAUGCAUGUCUCAGUACAAGCCAAAUUAAGGUGAAACCGCGAAAGGCUCAUUAAAUCAGUUAUGGUUCCUUAGAUCGUACCCACAUUUACUUGGAUAACUGUGGUAAUUCUAGAGCUAAUACAUGCAAACAGAGCUCCAACCGGAGACGGAAGGAGCGCUUUUAUUAGAUCAAAACCAAUCGGUGGCGGGUUCGCUCGUCAUCGUAUAACUUGGUGACUCUGAAUAACUUUAAGCUGAUCGCACGGUCUCGCACCGGCGACGCAUCUUUCAAAUGUCUGCCUUAUCAACUGUCGAUGGUAGGUUCUGCGCCUACCAUGGUUGUAACGGGUAACGGGGAAUCAGGGUUCGAUUCCGGAGAGGGAGCCUGAGAAACGGCUACCACAUCCAAGGAAGGCAGCAGGCGCGCAAAUUACCCACUCCCGGCACGGGGAGGUAGUGACGAAAAAUAACGAUACGGGACUCAUCCGAGGCCCCGUAAUCGGAAUGAGUACACUCUAAACCCUUUAACGAGGAUCAAUUGGAGGGCAAGUCUGGUGCCAGCAGCCGCGGUAAUUCCAGCUCCAAUAGCGUAUAUUAAAGUUGUUGCGGUUAAAAAGCUCGUAGUCGAAUCUGUGUCCCACGUCGCUGGUUCAUCGUACGCGGUGUCAACUGGCGUGUCGUGGGACGUCCUACCGGUGGGCUUAGCUCGCAAGGGCGGUCCAACUCAAUCCCGCCGCGGUGCUCUUGACUGAGUGUCGAGGUGGGCCGGUACGUUUACUUUGAACAAAUUAGAGUGCUUAAAGCAGGCCAAAACUUCGCCUGAAUACUGUGUGCAUGGAAUAAUGGAAUAGGACCUCGGUUCUAUUUUGUUGGUUUUCGGAACCCCGAGGUAAUGAUUAAUAGGAACGGAUGGGGGCAUUCGUAUUGCGACGUUAGAGGUGAAAUUCUUGGAUCGUCGCAAGACGGACAGAAGCGAAAGCAUUUGCCAAAAACGCUUUCAUUGAUCAAGAACGAAAGUUAGAGGUUCGAAGGCGAUCAGAUACCGCCCUAGUUCUAACCAUAAACGAUGCCAGCUAGCGAUUCGCCGACGUUCCUCCGAUGACUCGGCGAGCAGCUUCCGGGAAACCAAAGCUUUUGGGUUCCGGGGAAGUAUGGUUGCAAAGCUGAAACUUAAAGGAAUUGACGGAAGGGCACCACCAGGAGUGGAGCCUGCGGCUUAAUUUGACCCAACACGGGAAACCUCACCAGGCCCGGACACCGGAAGGAUUGACAGAUUGAGAGCUCUUUCUUGAUUCGGUGGGU